rnacentral:rRNA from 1 species
UACGGAGGGUGCAAGCAUUGAUCGGAAUUAUUGGGCGUAAAGGGCGAGUAGGCGGGAAAGAAAGUCAGACGUGAAAGACCGGAGCUCAACUCCCGAAUGGCAUUUGAAUCUUCUUUUCUUGAGGGUAGACUGAGGAAACGGAAUUCCACAAGUAGCGGUGAAAUGCGUAGAUAUGUGGAAGAACACCUGUGGCGAAAGCGGUUUCCUAGUUUAAACCUGACCCUGAGGCGCUAAAGCAAGGGGAGUAUACAUG